AUGAAAUUCCUUGGCUACAUAGGGAAUGACUAUUUUAAUAAUUCUUCCUUAAUGUGCUGUGCCCUGCUUUCAUCAAACGAAGACACAAAAUGAAAAAGUGCACGUAGCACGGUACACAGAGUACAUAAUGCAGACGGCACUAUAAAACCAUUGACUAUUACAUAAUACUAUGGGUACUUGUGAUUUGUGGUGAGUUGUGGUGUUCUAAGCACUCUGCAGACAGUGAAAGUGCUCAUUGAUGCUCGCUAAUUGUUGCAGCCCUAAUCGCUUUCUGGCUGAUCUUUGUUUUUCGAAGACCUGCUUUCUCCUGGCCUUCAGCCACCUCUGGAUGGGCGAUUGGACGGCGCAUUUUUUACUUUUUCUUGCACCAGCAGCACGUCAAAGAUUUCCACCUAUAAGCUCCUUUGAGGAACAAGGCUGUUAUUAAAAUCCCGGAUAAGCUCGGAAAGGGUCUUGGGAGAGCAGGAAAGCUGUUUACUCCGAGGUCGGCUCGGUGGAGACUGGGAUGCAGCUUUGGAGCACGGAGACAGACAUCAGCCUGAAAUGUCCGAACAGAGAGAGGGAUCCAGCACCUUGUGGCUGAUUAAGAGUUAAAGACAACUGAACUGAACGCCCUGCAGUUGCACUGAGGCCCGGCUAAAUGACCCAUGAAACCUAAUGGCAGCCGUAAAGAGAAGCACGUGCCCGACUGAGUACGUGCGACACCAUUUCCGGGCCCCGGACGACAACCCAGGCACACAGAAUCCCAUCUCCAGACCCUCAAGAAGGAGAUAUUCAAGGAUUUCUACAGCUAAAGAACAGGCCAGUUUAAAGAAGAAAAACAAAUGUGAGCCAAUCUAUACUUAGAGUGGCCUUCAAUGAAGUGAAUAUCACAUACUGUGUGAAUAUCAUAUACGUGGAUGUAGCUGUAGGUGGAUGUGUUUCUGAUGGACACAGAGUAUUACCCACAAAACAACAGGCUGAUCCGGGAAAGACAUCGCCCAGAAGGGUAUUUUCCUGCGGCAUUUCACUCAUCCUUCGUUACUCAUUUUUUCAUGUUUUUUUCUCCCAUUUAUUUUUUUUAUUUGAGACAAUUUUUCUGAUAUUAUGAAGUUACUUAACAGAUGCUCUUUGACUGAUUACCUGCCUGCUUAUACCUUUUUUGUUCUAAUGGAUUUAACUGAUUUAUGCAAAAGGAUAUUUUCACAGUAAUAAUUCAAGUUGUCUAUCUUUUUCCAAGAUACACAAACUGAUCAUCUCCUGGAAUUCACAGACAGCUCCUCAUAGGUCAUAGGUCUGGGUCUUAAAAAAACAGCUUCUUACUCUAUGUAGGAUAGAGAAAUGGUUUUAAAAAGCCUAAAAAUAAUCGCUAUUAUAUUGCUAACAUACAUCAACAUGUGGAUUACCAAAGUCUUUUUAUGUUGGCCAGAAAUACUACCCUCAAAUUUUAAUUGACCUUUCAAUGUGAAACACUGUAUUUUACAGUGCAAUAUAUGAUUUGACUAAAACAUAUACUGAUAAAGAUGUGUAUUGCCUAUGUGCAUUCCUGGUCAAUAACCAAUAACUCAUUUCAAUAUGGUAUAAUUAGAUAUUGACUAGUAUAAGUACUGGCUAGUGGGGAGGCACUUCAAUGCAAACACAUUACUCGGAAACACACAGAUAAUGCAUUGUAAACAGAUAUUUUUUUCUACCUGAAGUUUCACAAUAUUAUUCGAAAAAAGUCAGCUCCAUGACUGAUAUGUCUGUCCGGCCAGUCUGUUAGAAACACAUGAGUUUCACUAACUAGUUGUUUCACUUACUGCCAGUUUUUUUUUUUUUUUUUAAAGAGAUCACUUUAUUCUAUAAUCGAGGGAGGCGUCAGUGUUAUUUGCAAAAUUCUUUUAAGCCGCUAUACAAACCCAAACCCAUAAACCUUAUAUUACUUAUAAUUUUUAGCUGUAUGUGUUAAUUCCUUCCAUAAACAACAUUUGAAAUACUGAAAAACAAUGCUUUACUUUCUAUUGCUGUUAUCAAAUAACUGUUGCACAGCAGUGAAUUGUACUUCCCUAACAAACUGUGGUAACGUUAACGUCAAUAAACGCGAAUUCUGCAUCAUUGGAAUUUAAGAUUAUUCCCUUUAAAUAUAUAUUUUUAUAUUUACAUAUAUAAAUAAAUUCUCUCAUUGUUCAGUGUCUCCUGUUUAAGGAUAUAGACAGAUAAUUACAGGUUUAUUGUUACUGGGGCCCCAUUAAAAGUGUUAUUUCACCUCCUGUAGUGUAGUGACUAUUUGUGGUCAACAGGGGGCCCCCAAACCUCAGGGGCCCCAUGUAAAUGCAUGCAUUUGGAUGGUGGCAAACAUUGCCAUAGCGGAGACACACUAGUGAGCACGCAAGACAAUAAUGAGAGGCAGAGAACCUUCAGAGUGCCGUAAUUCAAUUAGAAUUUGCAGGCUUCCAAAUGAAACGUUUGAUGAUUCUUUUGUUUACUUGUUUUUAAGCCAUUCAAUGCAUUAUUCAUGUAUAUGAAGUAGAUUGAAUAAUGUACACUCAUUCACCCCCUCAGAACCCAGAGUCGGGAUGCUCAAACGAUAAAUUCUAAGACAAUGACUUCACUGAUGUU